UACAGAGGGUGCGAGCGUUAAUCGGAGUUACUGGGCGUAAAGGGCGCGUAGGCGGUAGGAUAAGAUGUGUGUGAAAACCCUGGGCUUAACCUGGGACGUGCAUACAAGACUGUUUUACUAGAGUACAGUAGAGGGUAGUGGAAUUUCCGGUGUAGCGGUGAAAUGCGUAGAUAUCGGAAGGAACACCGGUGGCGAAGGCGGCUACCUGGGCUGAUACUGACGCUGAGGCGCGAGAGCGUGGGGAGCAAACAGG
rnacentral:rRNA from 1 species